rnacentral:rRNA from 1 species
GACGAACGCUGGCGGCGUGCUUAACACAUGCAAGUCGAACGGAAAGGCCCUUCGGGGUACUCGAGUGGCGAACGGGUGAGUAACACGUGGGUGAUCUGCCCUGCACUUUGGGAUAAGCCUGGGAAACUGGGUCUAAUACCGAAUAGGACCACGCGCUUCAUGGUGUGUGGUGGAAAGCUUUUGCGGUGUGGGAUGGGCCCGCGGCCUAUCAGCUUGUUGGUGGGGUAAUGGCCUACCAAGGCGACGACGGGUAGCCGGCCUGAGAGGGUGACCGGCCACACUGGGACUGAGAUACGGCCCAGACUCCUACGGGAGGCAGCAGUGGGGAAUAUUGCACAAUGGGCGCAAGCCUGAUGCAGCGACGCCGCGCGAGGGAUGACGGCCUUCGGGUUGUAAACCUCUUUCACCAGGGACGAAGCGUAAGUGGCGGUACCUGGAGAAGAAGCACCGGCCAACUACGUG